CUCAGGUGGCGGCAGUGGGGAAUAUUUGACAAUGGGCGAAAGCCUGAUCCAGCCAUGCCGCGUGUGUGAAGAAGGCCUUCGGGUUGUAAAGCACUUUCAGUGGGGAAGAAAGCCUUGGGGCUAAUACCCUCGAGGAAGGACAUCACCCACAGAAGAAGCACCGGCUAACUCCGUGCCAGCAGCCGCGGUAAUACGGAGGGUGCGAGCGUUAAUCGGAAUUACUGGGCGUAAAGCGCGCGUAGGCGGUCUGAUAAGCCGGUUGUGAAAGCCCCGGGCUCAACCUGGGAACGGCAUCCGGAACUGGCAGGCUAGAGUGCAGGAGAGGAAGGUAGAAUUCCCGGUGUAGCGGUGAAAUGCGUAGAGAUCGGGAGGAAUACCAGUGGCGAAGGCGGCCUUCUGGACUGACACUGACGCUGAGGUGCGAAAGCGUGGGUAGCAAACAGGAUUAGAUACCCUGGUAGUC
rnacentral:rRNA from 1 species